rnacentral:tRNA from 1 species
GGGGAUGCAGCUCAGUGCUAGAGCGCAUGCUUAGCACGCACAAGGUCUUGGGGUCAAUCCCCAGUACCUCCG